UUUCUUCCUUCUCUUUUUUUUUUCUUUUUUUACACGGGGGCUUUUUGCUCUUUUCCCGUGAUUACUUCCCUUUUCUUUUUCUUUUUCUUUUUUUUUUUGGAUAGUGAGUGCGUUUUAUGCUCCAUCUCACGCUUGUGUUUAUGGGGAGUGUUUCUCCUCAACCCACCACAAGACUCAACAUGUUUUCUUUUUUUUAUAUAUCCCACAUGUAUUCCCCCAAACUUAGGUUUGUACCUAAGUUAAGCCUUCACUGCCUAUCCUUGUCAUUUUCUAGUUCACCCUAGCAUUAUCCUUUAGAAACUUUUUAUGUAUCAAUUUGAACUAACCGGUCAACAAAGUUGU
rnacentral:lncRNA from 1 species